CCCAGUGGUAGUCUGCUAUCCUGUCUGUUACGGUGUCUGUGAUAGCGUUUUACUGCUGGGAGAUAAAGGCACUGCCACCACAUACUUGGUGCCACUGUCCCCGUUCUGGUGGCAUGUGACACUUGUAUUGGGUAGUGUCGUGUUUCCUCGAGAGUGCGCUGGACUUGUGUAGUUCGGUGCUAGUCUGGAAGCUUACAUG